AGAGUUUGAUCCUGGCUCAGAUUGAACGCUGGCGGAAUGCUUUACACAUGCAAGUCGAACGGCAGCACGGGGGCAACCCUGGUGGCGAGUGGCGAACGGGUGAGUAAUACAUCGGAACGCGCCCAGUCGUGGGGGAUAACGUAGCGAAAGCUACGCUAAUACCGCAUACGAACUCUGGUUGAAAGCGGGGGAUCGCAAGACCUCGCGCGAUUGGAGCGGCCGAUGGCAGAUUAGGUAGUUGGUGGGGUAAAGGCUCACCAAGCCGACGAUCUGUAGCUGGUCUGAGAGGACGACCAGCCACACUGGGACUGAGACACGGCCCAGACUCCUACGGGAGGCAGCAGUGGGGAAUUUUGGACAAUGGGCGCAAGCCUGAUCCAGCCAUUCCGCGUGCAGGAUGAAGGCCCUCGGGUUGUAAACUGCUUUUGUACGGAACGAAAAGGCCUGGGUUAAUACCUCGGGCUCAUGACGGUACCG
rnacentral:rRNA from 1 species